GAGAGAUGGAGAUGUAGAUGCGUGUAAGUUUAAUCAAGUGCAGGCUGAAGAAACAACAUUAUAAAAAGCUAGAGUGGAGUAAAGGGUGUACUUCUCUGCGUGACUUCGUCACCUCAGUGAGAUCACUCUUGUCACAGCCGCAGACACACCACUGUCCCCCGCAUUACAUUACAAAGAAUUACAGACAUUUUCAUUACAAGUCUGACAGAGAGACUGAGCUUGGAGAGCGGCUUGGCUCCGGCUGAUUGGGGCCUGCUGGUAGCUCAGGGUUGCCGGGAAUGGGCUUUCAGACCACAUUUGUUAUUUAUUGUUAAUUUCCUGCCACAUAAUCAUCCAAAAAUGCAAACUGACUGCCGCAAAAUUAAGCAGAAAAUUAACUGGCCCCGGGUCACGAGGAUGCGGGUGUUCACCGUGCCCAGCUGAUCGACGCUCAUGUUCUCUCUAAUUUACUGAGCAUGCAUCGCUGAGCCCGCGGCCUGAGAAGAGACGUAUGGAAGCCACAAUGAGAAACAAAGGGAGGGAGAGUAAGAGAGAGAUGGAGGAGACAGAAAGAGCAGCGAGAUAGACUUUGUGGAAGAGAAGUAGAUAACCAACGGGGGGGGGGCAAGAAGUCAGAGAAGCAAAUGCAACAGGAAUGGGCAAAGAAAAGAAGAGAGGCAGAAAAGCAGGCCGAAGGACAGAGAAGUUCUCUUUAUUUAUUUUUUAGAAGCGAUCCUUCGGCCAGGGCUGAAUAUCUGAAGAGUCACCAGUGCUCGUGGCCCCAUUAAUAAUGGAUGGCCCUCAAGCCUGCAGCAGAUGGGCCCGACAGCCUCAGCCCCAGCUCCGCCACUUCAAGAAGCCCUUGGUGGGGCCGCUGCCCAGUCCAAGCAGCCACUCAGGGAGAAGUGAAGCUCCCGAAAAUAGCGAAACGAGCCCAAGGGAGAAGGGGAACCUAGGCCUUCCUGUUUUACUGACAGAUGGCUCCACACAUUUGGAACAAAUAGUGGGAAGCGACCGGGCCGCUCUGUCGCAACGCACAGUUUUCUGCGGAGUCAAGUCAGGAGCUCAAAGACGCCCAGAAUGCAAGUGUGAGGGAAAGAAGAAGAGGAGGUGGUGGAGGAGGAGCGGGGAGGGGGGGCAAAGGUCACCGGUGCAGAUGAUUUGUUCAGCACAACACAGGGGUGUUGCGUGUUAUUCUGCGACGAGUCUGCAGUGCCGUUCUUCAGCAUCUGGAGUUUGGAGGUCGGGGGCAGAGGGGGGUAUAUUCUCAUGUGCCCUUUUUUUUCUGGGCAGAUGGUGAGAGGGGAAACACGGAUGUGUAGGUGGGGGGGCUUCGACAGAAAUAAAAAAGAGAGUUCCUACAUUCACCCACAACCCACUUGCGUAGGCAUGUGGAAAGUAAGGUGCACAGAGAAUAUUCAGGAAGUAGCUAUUUUGUUUGAGCACAACGUGCUGUUUUUAUUUUCUACAUGUCACAACACUGUUGCUAUUUUGACUUUUCGCAUAUUGUUUUUAGUUUGAUCGCAGUCUUUACGCACUGUGCCUCAAUGUCCCUUUGCCAAAGUUUAAGUCCUACUUUGAGAACAGGCUUUUUGAUAAGAGCAAUUAAAAUGUUAGUCUUAACAUCGUUCCCAUUUACAGUAUGUAAUCAAAUCAAAUUAAAGUUAUGAAAAUAGGAGGGACGUAUUGCUCAUGUUCUGGUUGUAACCAGGGGGAGAUGUGUGCAUAUUGGUGUGUGUGUGUGUGUGUGUGUGUGUGUGCGUGUGUGUGUGUGUGUGUAUGAACUAGGGGCAGGUGGAAUCUUUCAGCCGGUGAAAUGGAAGUCACAGAAAAGACUUCUGACACACAGCGAAGGGGGACUGGAAAAGUUUUGGUCUGACUACGUCAAGUGAGGAGAGGCAGGAAGAGGCUUGUGGGUUGACAGAAUUCUCGGUCCUCCUCCUGUGUGUGUGUGUGUAUGCAUGUGUGUAUGUGUGUUUGUGUGUUUGGUGCAUGGCAAUGGUGGGUUGGGGGGGAGAAGGAGGGGUGGUGGUGGGGGUGGGGGGUGUGGGGGGCAGUUAGAGGCGUCUGCUCAUAGUGAGAUGCAAAAGCUACACCAGGGAGCAGGGUGGAGAUGAGAAACAACGAAACCGUUAACAGAUACUGAGGACCACACCAGCAAAGUUUGGAUACUCAGGAGGAAGCUUCAAACGCUGGUGUGCGUGUGUGUGUCUGUGUGUGAAUACGAUACAUAAAACACAAUUAAAAUGAACACCUGGAAUACAUGAAGCAACAUGUGGAGGAAUGGGAACAAAAAUAACAUUUUUGAGUGUUUCAGGUAGAAUUAAAUUAAGUUUUGUGUCAUUAAAAUUCAUUAAGUUUACAUUUUUUAAAUAAUCCAACAUUUAAUAACACUUAUCUUUAAUGGAUGAUUAGGCAUUACAAAAACAAAUUGAAGGCGUGUAAAAUAUAUCUUUAUAUGUUUCUGUUUAUGGCAGUUAGAUUUCUGGCUGCAAUAAAACAGACUUUAGAUUUAAAUACAUCAUUAUAUAAAUAACUGUGCUCACUUCAUGAAUCCAGUUUCAGCACACGCUAAAGCUGAUCUCACUGAUUUCACACACAAAUAUGAAUCAUAAUUCAAAUAUUUCAUAUUUGCACUCUCUGCUAAAAGUUUCCACUUAAGACAGAAACUCACUGACAAUUCAUGAAAAUAUCUGAAUUUUUAAUUUUCACUGUUGUGGCUUUUGUGAGAAGUAAUGAAGCUGUGGGCCUUUUCUUAUCAACCAUUAGGAGAAGAGAUUAUCCUACACUGCCAAGCAAUGCGGUGCAUGGUCACCUUUAUUCAUAUGCACAUGGAGAUUCUCAUCAGUAAUUCAUGAAAUGUAUGGGUGUAAGUGGGUAGAUAGUGUUAGCGGAUGUGUUCUGGGAGCCUAUCGAGGGGGUGAGGGGAGAGUAAAGGUGCACUGAAGAGAAGUUUCCUUCAUUUGCAUCUGACACACUUCACUACUCUGCUAUUCAGACAGUACAAUCAUUUUAAUAACUGUCUGCCUUCCUCUGCGCCCCCCUCCUGCACCUCCUCCACCCUCCCCUACCUACUUCUGUUUCUACUGACAAGAAAGAUGAUGUAUCUGCAGACAGAUUUGCAGUACUUUCAGCACUUCUCUUUCCAACCGAGCUAUGAAAAAGUCCUGUUUGUGCAGAGGCUCAACUUCAACAACAGGAACUUCUCGGUUUUGCAGACUGUUCAAAAGAUGAAAACACUUUAUUUCCUCAACAGUUUGACAGUGAAUCGGUCUGGUUUUUCGUCUGGGCGUUGAUGAACAACUUUCCACCUCGUUGUCAGCAGUGUAAAAAGUUUCAGCAGUCCUGCCUACAUAUGUGUUUUUCUUCUUCCCUUCACACAGACGUUUAACAACUAACUGAGACUGUGGUUCGAUCAGGUGAAUUCAAAGAUUAACGUAUCCCGCUGUCCCCAGGCCCCACGCAGCUACUCUUAUCUCAGGAGAGGCUGUGUGUGCUGGAUUGCUGAGUCACCUUUCGUGGGAGGCUACUCUUAUCUCCUAAGAAGCACAACAUUCAGGCAGUUGGUUGCAAAAGGAGGAACUUUGGGCAGGAGCACUACUGUGUCUUCACGGCAGUAAUACGGAUUGCAGCAACGCUCGCUGACUUCCUCAAAGCCUCUUGGCUGGCGCUGCUUUGUGUGUGAGGUCAAAGGUGCAGCUUUUGGACACGAGCAGGUAUGAAUAAAGGCUGCAGGAUGAGCAGCUCCUGGGGCCACAAAGAGGGAAUGCUGGGACUGAAAUGUGUGACUCAACGCUAUCAGUGAACGCAGAGGGGUCCAAUCAUAACGGUGGUCUUCCAUAACCCAGAGAUACUGUCCUGUCCCAGUGACACAGCAGCUUCCACACACUGUGGGUCUGACAGCCAAAACACUAGGACAAUGAUUCAGGUUACUGCAGAGUUGGCAUCAAUACGCAGUGCUGCCCAAGUUGCUGAUAAUCUUCCCAAUGUCUGAUUUCUAGAAAACGUGUAACUUCUUACUGGACAUACAAAUUAUAUUAAUAUAAGAUUACUUUAUUCUGCCGCAUUUAAGAUUAUACCACAUGUACGGGCUGUUAUCCAUGGCUGCAAAUGAAACUAAACAUAAGCCCUGCUCCCUCGGGUUAAUCCACAACCUGAAGUAAGUCAUGUUGCUGUAAUUAAUAUCAUUACCUGGCAAGUCUCAAAACAUCAUCAGGCAAUGUAGCCGGUUGACUACCGAACAAAAGGCUCCGGCUGGUUCUUAUUUCAUGGAUCUUUAAGCAGUAUUCACUGUUUCACAUUUGGAAGCAUGAGCAGCAUGUAACCCUUAAUUGGUUUCAACACCUUAAUAAGUCAAAGACGUUCAAGGCUGAUAAUCACAUUAAAUAGUCCAAUUUAUCUAAAAAGUCAAUUGCAAACUGAGAAACUCUUUCUUUAGGAAUGCAUUAUGCUGUGAGGAUGUCAGAGUAAAUUAAAUUCCCCUCUGCACACUAAAGCAUCUAUUUCCUUAUGGUAAUUAUCUGCUGGAAUAGACGUGUCACUAGAAGGAGUCAGGCAUGCUUGACAUUUAGCCUUUUUAUGGAGAGGCGAUGAGUAAAAAUUAAGAUGAGGAAAAGGAAAUUAAUCUCCAGCCCAGGCAGGCAUUGAGAGAUCCUGAAGGAUAGUGGCUGAAUCAAUCAUGAUGUUUGUGAGCCUGUUUUGAAAAGGAGCCAGUGAUGAGAUUCAGACCACAGGCUGGAAAAUCUGUGUGCGUGUAGGUGGGGGUGGGGGCAAUUCUUUAGUAAAUAGAGUUAUGAUUACUAGAAGAAGGUUUCGCAGUUUUAUUGGUUUUAAACACAACCGCAUACACACAUAGCUCGGUACAAUACCAAUCUUUAACAAAACAAUUAAAUGUUUGAGAGUUAGGUGAGAAGAUUUAUGACAAGACGGAUACAAGAAGUCAAAAGUGCAAUUCUUAGCCUUAGAGGUGCUGCUAGGGAGAUUUUGUCACCUUUACACAGAGCUAAGCGAACCGUUUCUUGGCUGUACAGAUAUAAGAGUGGUAUCCACAAUGUCUAGAACAUGCUAAAAUAGGUGAGAUAAUGAUCACUAAUUAAAACGGUAUAGCUUUCUGCAUCAUUUAUGAUAACUGCUAAUGGGAAAUCCCAGCUAUCUAAAUGUAGGCUUUAAGUCAACGUUGUCUAACACAUUAAUUGGUGGUUACUCAAUGUCAGUCACUAGCAGAGCUGUUCGUUGAUAUGACGCCAAAAGGAAGAGUGCACUGUCUAGAUGAUUGUAGAUUUGUUAAGAUUUACUCUUUACUUUGCACUGCAGUAAAUCCACAGUGUAUGUUGGUAUGUUUAAUAUUUUAAGUUCAGUUUACUUGUCACCUUCAUGGGUAAAGAUACAGUAAUUCGGGACACAACACAGCGCUGAAACUCUAUUUCAGUGACUUGCAUCGGGCUCCAGCAUUGUUGUUGUUGUUUUCUUGCUGCAUUGACAAAACUGUGACACUGUGAAUAAACAGGAGGAAUCAUGUAUAUCAGCAUACAGGAUGUAGCGUGUAGGUAGGUAAUAUGUGUAGCCUAUAUAUAUAAACUUAGCUUAUGGUUUACCAACCCUGGCUUUGGUGUGCUGAACCCAGCAGCGAGCACAGCACAAAUCACAAUGUGUCUGAAAGGGCUCUUAGAGUCAACAUGCGCAAUGUUUCACUGGCAGUUUGAUGGUAUGCUGAUAUCAGUUUGCAUCUCUGUCAUUUGGAUUUGCCAUCUUACAAAUAAGGAGAAAUGUGAUACCUGGUAACAUUGCUGAUGAGUGUUCUAGCUGGCUUGCUAACAUUAUUCGUCAGAUUACGUUUCGGAGUCAGCAGUUUGUUAAGAAUUAAGAGGAUGUGACUAUGGCCUCACUGUGGACAAAGCUAGCUAUUAGUGGUGUGCAAUACUGCAUAUUUUGGUAUCGAUCCAAUACCAAGUAAAUACAGGCCAGUGUCGCCGAUACGAUACUUUUCAAUGAAUAAGGUGGAUGCGUCAUUGGAUAGCUAAAUCACAAUUAAUUUUCAUGACCUUGCUUUUGGCUUGAAAACACAGCAAAACAGCCUCUUCCUCUCUGCCAUUCUUCUGUUGUAAUUUUUUACAAGAAAAUAGGCAGAUAGACUUGGUAUCGAUACUGUCGAUAUUUGGAUCGAUCCGCCCACCACUACUAGCUAUUGAUGGUCAGUUACUACCUCUAAAAUGUAGGCAGACUGCUUAUUAAAAACAUGUAAUUUUCUAUUUCUACAUAUUAAGUACAGAAUAUGUGACAUGUAGGUGGAGAAGAUUUCAAGUUGUUCAUAGGUGCAAUAUAUAAGAGCUGGCCAUAUGUCGAACCAGAGUAACUGUUAACUGUAGCUGCCGUUAGCUAGUUAGCACAACCCAGGGUGUGGGAUGGUCAAGAUGGGGAUGCUGUGUCUGAAUCGGCACCACAAUCGCACCUAGGAGAGCGGAACCUGGUCUGAACACAGCCUCGGAGGUGAUUUUUAAUGGGUCCCACCAAGACUCUGACUCCAGGGUCGACAGGAGUGGGAGAAGAGCAAGAGGCAGGUUGGGCAUCAGUCAGUGCCCAUUUCCGGAGACCUGAACAGGGGUUACAACAGGGUCAGCCACAGGGUGCCAUGAGAUAAGAAAACCACUUUCUGUGGUUUGAGGGAUCGCUACUACAGUGGCUCAUUAUGGCCUCUUGAGGUACAAAGAGGUAUUAAAAGAUAGGAUAGCUAGUUAGCAGAUAUGUCUGAAACACAAUACAUAAACAUAUUUGCAGUCAAAAAACAGUUAUUACUUCACAUCCUGUGGAUACAUUUAGUUCAUUUUUGAAUGGUUCAAACUAACGUGCGCCAUUAUUCAACUGCUUAAUGAUUUAUGUUUUGCCCAUGGGGUAAGUAGGUCGGCUAGAUUGGUAAAUACUUUUUUGUCUGUCUACGAUCAGGAGUCUACACAGGGCAUUUCAUUUUGAAAAUUGACUGUUUCUGUGUCCGAGCUCAAUCCACUUUGUGUUGUUUAACGCAGCUGGCCACAGCCUCUGUCUUAAAUAGACCAGCCACGUAUUCUCCAUGCAGCAAAGCAGAGAGCAGCUUGUGCGGCACUUAAAACACACUGUGCUGCUUCUGGUGAAAUCAUAAGCAUUGUGUGGAACGGCUGCAGCCAGAACAUGUCGCAGCCGUCACAUGCUGCACCUUUAGAGGCACCCUUGGUGUAGCCAUGCUGAGUAAUGGAAUAAAGCGGUGUUGAGUAAAUUGUUGAGCAGUAUUGCUCUUUAUGAGGAGUACUACACAGCCUUUGAAAACAGGUGUACCGUGUGUCCUGUAGUUCUGAAGGGAACUUUCUAAAGUUUGAAAGAAUGAUGGCGUCUAAGAAAGAUGAUAUAGAGCUGCAUUAUGGGAAAUGUAGUUUUCACUAAUUCACUAAGAGAGACUAAAAGUCAGAACUUCUCGGCCUCUGCUUCCUCAAGUUUGAUCAUUCUUUUUCACGAGACCCCCCCAACUUUACAGAAGUGCAAUACGUAAUCACUGAAGUGCCUCUUUAAUGACAAUAAAUGUGAGAUAAUGUAACUGAUUGAUGUGAAUUUUAAUUGUAAUGUGUUAGUGAUUAGUGAAGCAGCAGUGUGUUCGAGUAAAAAAUGUAAAUCUAAACAAAGUAUAGAUGAAGAGAAACAGGAAAACCAGCUCAUCCCUAUUUCCUGUGUAAGCGCGAAGCUGCACAAACCACAGACAUAAAGCUAUAGCUGGCAGAUACUUAAUAAUGUUGAUUCACAUUACAGUCACAUAUACAGAAAAAAACUAACACCUCUAACUGCUGUGUGCAGCAUAGACUGCAAACUGCAUUUAAUAUGUACUUUCUGAGCACAUUAAUGAGUAAUACUAAAAUGUUACUCAUUAGGGAUCUGUUGUACAUGUCAUAUUUUCUAUACUGCUAAAUGUGUAACAUUAGUGCAGACAACCUUUAACUUCCCUAAAUAUUUUCUCUGUUUGGUCCCCUUACUUUGCCCUUCAUGAAACACAGUGUGUGUGGACUGAAAUACACACACACAACACACACAAAGUGAGCAAGUGAGUGAGUCAGUGAGAGAGUGAAUGUUUAAAAGGACAAUGCAAGAGCUCACUACCCAGAGUUAGAAAACCACUCAUCUAAAUCAGGGAAAUUAUGAUAAUGGGGCAUCUCAUUAUUCUCCAACUCACUCCGAAUCAGUCACUGACAUCACAUCAUUAUAGACACAGUCAUAUAAACAGAUUGGAUAGCAUAAAAUGAAGCCUGACACCAUCAAAACUUUCUCAUCUGCUUUGUCUAAUGUCUCCUCGCGUGCUUUUGUGUGAGGCAGGAAGUGCAGGUCUGAGGAAGGGGUUGCAGGGGGUCGUGGUGGUCACAGCUCGGGACAGAGGCGCCCGAUGGCCAAAAGUGGGACUCCCCGAUUCUUUACAAAUUAUUUUAGAUCAAAUAUAAAUCUAAGAACCCACGUGUUAACCUUAUAGUGAAACACCAAAGACUGCUACAGACUACAACUUAAAAAUACCCUUACACACUUGUGUAAUGUGUGAGCUUUGGCAAGCAAAAAUCCUGACAACGUCUGACCGUUGCAGCAGACAGUUAAUCAAUCCAAGUGCUUGUCUUUUUUCAGUUUUGGGGGAAAAAUAUGGGAGGCCAGCCUAAUCAGCAGAGGAAACAGAUCUCAAGGGGUGUCGGGCACCAGGAAAAUGGAUCUAGGUUGCAAAAAACCACGAUUACCACGAGCUGCUCUGGAUUCAGCCAUCUGGAGAUGCCUGCUCCAAAAGCCGGUAAAGUUCGCUCAACUGGGGCCCAACUAGGAAACAGGUUUCCAUCUCCUUAACAGACAGCCAACACUCCCAGAGCAGAGGGAUGUUUGCUCUGCACAGUGAGAUGUGUUAAAGUGCUUAUCAUGUAAAUUGACAUUAUUAGACUUAGGCUGUUAAAGACAUUUUCUGAAAUGAAAUAUUUUCUUUUGAUGCCACGUGUGAAAAUCAGAUAUCUGCUGUGAAAUCUCCUCGACGCGAGAAUGUUUUUUUUGCCCUCAAAUUAACCUUCUUGUCAUUUUCUCCCCAGUUUUCCAAGACUUCCAAUUUCCUUCCUGUCUGUCUUCAGGAAUGACAUCCACUGUUUUUUAAUCUCUGUUCUUAACAUUUCCAAUUACUGUAGUCUUUACCAGCUGACCAUUAACUUGUAUGUCACCGGCCCACUCAUCCAAAAAAAAUAAGAUGCACGUUUAGCUGAUGCAAAUACUUCAAGUCAUGCCACUCAAACACGUGCAGGCACAAAAAAGAAAGAAAGCUAAAAAGUCUGAAUAAAAUUCAAAAUUCAUUAUUUAUUAUUUUUAUAUGAAUUGUAGUCAUUCUUCUAACACUGUAUUAAACUCCAUUGACCAACAACACAGUGCAUCUUCCUAUUCAUUCUCAGUUUCUGCUGUUAUUUAUCUAAAAAAAAAACAACAGAUACGAUAUAUUCUUUUGAAAUCAUAUUUAAUUAUUGUACUUUGGUUAGACCUGAAUUAAGCAGAUGUGCCACUGUCAUGACUUGUCGCAAAAAGACUCAGGCCUAUAGACAUUUUUUGUGGUGAGGAUAAAUUGUGAAUGAUCGCUGAAUGAUUGAUCACUGUGAGGUGUUGCCUGUGCCUUGAUCAGUCACGAUAUGCUGACAUCAGUCACCUGCCUUAUUUUGUGCAGUGAAAAAAAUGAUCUGACGUUGCCUCUGCAUUUAAACCUGUAUUACUAAUGUGUUCUUGUGAUAUUCUGACAGAGAACAGAUCUCAGACUCCCUUAAAAAUAUCUGUGUUUUGUGAGUUGUUGAGUUAAGGGAAAUUUUGUCAAACACUGUCUAUGACAUAUUCCUCAUUAUUUGUCCCCUCUUGUAAAUUCAGUAAAUGUAGCACAUGAAGUUUUCCCUUUCUUUGUAUAAAAAAAUAUAAUUUUGUCAGUGUGUUGCAGCAUCGGCGCGUGGCCUACUCUGUGAUUAGAUCAAUUAUAUGCCUUGUAACAGCAGACCAGCUGCACAGAUGACUGCGACACAGUUAUUUUUUACUGUAUGUCCUUCACGUGCUGCUUUCAUUUUUCAUUCAGUUCUGUCGAAUAACAUGUUUUUGUGCUUUAAUGGUACUGAAUAGAUUUCUCAUUUCUCGCUCUUGAAAUUUGAACAGCAACAUAUAUUUAAUGUCAGCUAAAAAACAACAUCUUACAUGUGUAAAAACAACAUGUUGUGCUGUGUACGGAUGCCAACCUAAGAUCUGAACACCAUGUCAGCCAGACUACCACCACAUGUGGUCAGACAGAUCAGACAUAUUCUUUCAUGACACAUUUACAAUGUGCAUUGACAUAUUUUUUCAGGUGUUAAUGAGAUUAGUCUUUGUAAAAUGACUGCUUGGUUUUAUUUUUAAAAAAGCAUCAUGUAGUGAGAGAAAUGAAAAAACUGUUAAAUUAAAUACUGGCUGAAAAA